ACGUAGGGGGCCAGCGUUGCUCGGAAUUACUGGGCGUAAAGGGUUCGUAGGUGGUGCGGCAAGUUGGAAGUGAAAUCUCUGGGCUUAACCCAGAGGCUGCUUUCAAAACUGCCGUGCUCGAGUGCGAGAGAGGUCAGUGGAAUUGCAGGUGUAGCGGUGAAAUGCGUAGAUAUCUGCAGGAACACCCGUGGCGAAGGCGGCUGACUGGAUCGCAACUGACACUGAGGAACGAAAGCUAGGGGAGCAAACAGGAUUAGAUACCCUGGUAGUCCUAGCCCUAAACCAUCAGAACUUGGGGUGGCCCGCGUAGGCGGGUCGUCCCGUAGCUAACGCGUUAAGUUCUGCGCCUGGGGAGUACGGUCGCAAGACUG
rnacentral:rRNA from 1 species